AACUAUACUCUCCAUUGGUGCCUACCCUUGACAUAUGGAGGCCUCUACAAUCUCCAUCAUUGUCAGCUCUUCAUUGUUCAUCAUAUAUUGAAAUUAGUCCUAUAGUAAGAGCCAUUUCACUCGCAAACUAGGAUUUGGGAGAAGAUUGCUUAACAGUCUUCUUUGGUUGGGUCUAGGUACUAGAAGGAGAUCCACCAAC
rnacentral:lncRNA from 1 species